CACAAGGGGUGAAGCCUGCGGUUCAAUUGGAGUCAACGCCAGAAAUCUUACCCGGAGAGACAGCAGAAUGAAGGUCAAGCUGAAGACUUUACCAGACAAGCUGAGAGGUGGUGCAUGGCCGUCGCCAGCUCGUGCCGUGAGAUGUCCUGUUAAGUCAGGUAACGAGCGAGAUCCCUGCCACUAGUUGCUAUCAUUAUUCUCAGGAAUAGUGGGGCGAAUUAGUGGGACUGCCGUUGUUAAAACGGAGGAAGGAAGGGGCUACGGCAGGUCAGUAUGCCCCGAAACUCUGGGGCCACACGCGGGCUGCAAUGGUAGCGACAAUGAGUUCCAAACUCGAAAGAGAGUGGCAAUCCCUAAACGCUACCACAGUUAUGACUGAGGGCUGCAACUCGCCCUCACGAAUAUGGAAUCCCUAGUAACCGCGUGUCAUUACCGCGCGGUGAAUACGUCCCUGCUCCUUGCACACACCGCCCGUCGUUUCAUCGAAGUUUGCUUUUAGCGAGGUGAUGUUUAAUUGGCAUUAUCGAACUUGAGGUAAGCGACGAGGGAAAAGUCGUAACAAGGUGACCGUAGGGGAACCUGCGGUCGGAUCACCUCCUU
rnacentral:rRNA from 1 species